UGGGGAAUUUUGGACAAUGGGCGAAAGCCUGAUCCAGCAAUGCCGCGUGUGUGAAGAAGGCCUUCGGGUUGUAAAGCACUUUUGUCCGGAAAGAAAUCCUUGGCUCUAAUACAGUCGGGGGAUGACGGUACCGGAAGAAUAAGCACCGGCUAACUACGUGCCAGCAGCCGCGGUAAUACGUAGGGUGCAAGCGUUAAUCGGAAUUACUGGGCGUAAAGCGUGCGCAGGCGGUUUGCUAAGACCGAUGUGAAAUCCCCGGGCUCAACCUGGGAACUGCAUUGGUGACUGGCAGGCUAGAGUAUGGCAGAGGGGGGUAGAAUUCCACGUGUAGCAGUGAAAUGCGUAGAGAUGUGGAGGAAUACCGAUGGCGAAGGCAGCCCCCUGGGCCAAAUACUGACGCUCAUGCACGAAAAGCGUGGGGGAGCAAACAGGAUUAGAUACCCUGGUAGUCCACGCCCUAAAACGAUGUCAACUAGUUGUUGGGGAUUCAUUCCUUAGUAACGUAGCUAACGCGUGAAGUUGACCGCCUGGGGAGU
rnacentral:rRNA from 1 species